CAGAAACAUCCCUGGGAAGCUGAGCCCUCCCCAGACUCUGUGGCCCAGAGGCUCCAGGUCUCAGGGAUGAAGAUUGUAAAGCUUGAAGCUCUGAGGCACAAGUGUCUGUACAGAGUCCUGGAUCUCUACAGCCACCUCCAGGCCAGGGCUUGCCCAGAAGGUGUGAGCAGCAUCCUGAGCAGGUUCAGCUGCCAAAAUGCAGGUGAAGAAGUGGCCCGAGAGGUUGCUGAGAGCAGAGAGCAGCAGCAAGCAGCCAGAGCAGUGGAUUUCCUCCAGGAGCACCAUCGGGAGGGGAAUUUGCUGAAGGGGUUAAAUGCAGAGGCUGAGGCUGAGCUGAGGAAAAUGCAGGCACAGUUCAGGCUGGAGCUUCAAAGCCAGACAGAGGAAAAGCUAAAAGCCAAAGAAACAAAAGUGAUCCAGGAGACCAAAGGACAGAAAUUUGGGGAUCUUGUGGUUUAUUCCCUCCUCUCACAGAGGCAGCUCAGGCAAAGGGUGACUUUGCUCCAGGAUUGCCACAGGCUCAGGAGCGCUGCCCUGAAAUCCCUAAAGGAGGGCACAGGCCUGGAACACCUCGUGGUGGAAGUAAAAUUCUCUUCUUAUUUUUGCUUUAAAAUUCUCCAAGUUUGGUUUAGAACCUGGAGUGUGCUGCUGCAAAGCUUUACAAACUCUCAGGAAUUGUCUCUGUUUAGAGAAAUGUGUCUAGAAAUGAAGCUAAGUUCAGAAUUAAAUUAAACUAUUAUGUAUUAUAUA
rnacentral:lncRNA from 1 species